AUGGGGUGCAUCUCCUCCAAGGCACUGAGCAGGUCAGGGAGCCUGCGGGGGAAGGCCAACCAGGGGCUCCAGAGGAGCGGCCUGGUCGAGGAGAUCAUCCUCUCCAACUCCAAGAGGAACGGCGACCAGUUCCUCGCCCUCCUCUGCACCUCCAGCUCCGCCGCCAGGAAGAGCAAGGUCGACGCCGCCGAGCAGAUCGAGACGAUCAACGUGUCUGACCUUCUCGCCGGGCUGGAGGAAGAGAACACACCGGAAGGUGCCGAGGAGCGGGGCGAUGAUCGGAAACCAGACGGCGGCAAAACUUCGUCGCCUCGGUGUGCAUACGAUGGCGCGGCCGGGAGGGCGGUCAGCUUCCGCACGCUGGAGGAGUUCGACGCGUUGGUUUCGCGGUGCGGCUCGCCGGAGAAAGCGGAGCCUGCACCAGCACCAGCAGCUGAACCAGACGCGUCCGUGGAGCCGCCGCCGCAGAGCAGCUCCUCCAAGGAGCAAGCCGCGACGGCCACAGGGAGCAGCGAAUCCGAACCAGACGCGUCAGCGGUGCCGCCGCAGAGCAGCUCCACGGAGCAAGGCGAGAUGGCCACCGCGAGCAGCGCUCCGGCACUAGGGGAGGCGCCUGGCGGCGCGAAGAGGCGGGCGAGGGCGAGGCAGCUCGGCGAGCUGAGCGCGACGCCGGGCUUCGACUUCAGCAAGUCCGGCAGCCUGAGGGACUGGCUGCUCGGCGGCGGGCAGAUGUUCUCGCCGGGCUCCUACGUCACGCCCAAGUUCGGCAGCGUGGCGGCGGCACCGCCCGAGUCCGCAGAGCACGGGGAGCGCGCGGUGUUUGAUCCGGAGCUGGUGGCGCAGCUGGAGGAGGCCAUGGAGGAGCUCUCGGUGGACGAAGAACGCGUGCUGCGGGAGGUCUUGGAGGUAAUCGAAGCGGGAGAAACACAGAGGUUGGAGAGGCGAGAUGCUCCGGAAGUGCUGGCGGUGAUUGUGCAGGAUUAG
rnacentral:rRNA from 1 species